CCUACGGGGGGCAGCAGUGGGGGAUAUUGCACAAUGGGGGAAACCCUGAUGCAGCGACGCCGCGUGUGGGAAGACGGUCCUCUGGAUUGUAAACCACUGUCCCCAGGGACGAAGAUGACGGUACCUGGGGAGGAAGCUCCGGCUAACUACGUGCCAGCAGCCGCGGUAAUACGUAGGGAGCGAGCGUUGUCCGGAAUUACUGGGUGUAAGGGGAGCGUAGGCGGGACUGCAAGUUGGGUGUCAAAUCUACCGGCUCAACCGGUAGCCGCACUCAAAACUGCAGUUCUUGAGUGAAGUAGAGGCAGGCGGAAUUCCUAGUGUAGCGGUGAAAUGCGUAGAUAUUAGGAGGAACACCAGUGGCGAAGGCGGCCUGCUGGGCUUUUACUGACGCUGAGGCUCGAAAGUGUGGGGAGCAAACAGGAUUAGAUACCCUGGUAGUC
rnacentral:rRNA from 1 species